GACGUAGGGCGCAAGCGUUGUCCGGAUUUAUUGGGCGUAAAGAGCUCGUAGGCGGCUCGUUGCGUCGGCUGUGAAAACCCGCAGCUCAACUGUGGGCUUGCAGCCGAUACGGCGGGCUGGAGUUCGGUAGGGAGACUGAAUUCCUGGUGUAGCGGUGAAAUGCGCAGAUAUCAGGAGGAACACCGGUGCGAAGGCGGUCUCUGGGCCGAUGACUGACGCUGAGGAGCGAAAGCGUGGGGAGCGAACAGG
rnacentral:rRNA from 1 species